CCACCGCCCCGUGCAAACGCUGACGGUCCGGUCCAGGAUUCCUAUCUAAGACACUGUAGUGAAGAACUAAGGCUGCUGGCAACAGGGGUGAGGAGUGAAUGAGAGCAGAGCGCGAGUGCCAAGAGCAGUGAGGUCCCUGUCGCUGAGCUCUCUUCCACAAGCAAGGCAGGUAGAGAAGGGGAAGGCUCUGACAGAGACCCAGAUGAAAGGCACACUUUCCCCAGAGGAAGAGAGCCAACAG